CAAUAGCGUAUAUUAAAGUUGUUGCAGUUAAAAAGCUCGUAGUUGGAUUUCGGGACGGGCCAGUUGGUCCGCCGCAAGGUGUGUUACUGACUGGUCUGUUCUUCUUCGCAAAGACUGCGUGUGCUCUUCGUUGAGUGUGCGUAGGAUUUACGACGUUUACUUUGAAAAAAUUAGAGUGUUCAAAGCAGGCUAUCGCUUGAAUACAUGAGCGUGGAAUAAUGGAAUAGGACUUUGGUCCUAUUUUGUUGGUUUCUAGGACCGAAGUAAUGAUUAAGAGGGACAAUUGGGGGCAUCCGUAUUUCGUUGUCAGAGGUGAAAUUCUUGGAUUUACGAAAGACGAACAACUGCGAAAGCACUUGCCAAGAGUGUUUUCAUUAA
rnacentral:rRNA from 1 species